ensembl:lncRNA
UUUUCAAAGCAAAGUUUUCAAGUACCUGUUUUAACCACACGAUUUAGAGCAUGCUGUGAUUUUUUGUCUUAUUCUCAGCCAUUUGUAUAUUUUAUUACCACUCCUCUUUUAUUGUCUAUCAGCUGCUUUUAUGAUGAGGUACGUCCGUGGUUUAUUUUUUCAUAAGUAUCUUCAAAUGUUACUUAGCAGUUAUUUACACCCUAUAGAAAGUGUCCGAGGAAGUUUCAUUUCAGUCACAUCUAUUUCACACAUGUUUUAGUACUGUGAAUAUAAUAUGUAGUAAUGCUGGAAACAUUUAGUAAUGCACUUGCCUAAAAAUAAACAGUUUUAUAACCACACAUGCUGUUGUUUAGAUUAAACAUUGCAGAAAGUUCUCCUUAAACUUGAACGUCACACCAUUUAUUUUCUAAGAGAACAAAAAAAAAACCCACCCCAUUAAAAUAGCCUUGUUUUGUAGAAGUUGUGCUAGCUGAAAGAGAUGGUAUUUUUAACUGAAAUGAAUAAUUCAAGAUCUUUACAAUAGAUGUGUUAAUUGCAAAUAAUUUUUGUACCAACUUCCAGUUAUUGAUGGACUAAGAAGCAGUUUUUCAUACAGUCUGUGCAGUCUAAACCGUACAACAAAAAGUAGAUAUCUCUAUUUCUUUUCACCCCCAAAACAUCACCACUUUUGCCCCAUUCUUUUAAUCAAAAGUAAGCUAGAGAGCAGAUUUUAAUGUUUUAAAGACAACAACAAAAAAAAAGCUUUUAAAAUUACCUCAUGCAUCGUCUGGCUGCACAAAAUCUCAGCUGCACAGUGCUAAACUUCGGUUUGGUACUGCCAGCAUACAAAGAGAUGAGUGAAUACCCCUUGCACCCAUAUGGACUCAGCUGCCAGCACUGUGAUAUGCAAUUUUGCUUUUUAAUGAAUCGUAAACAAUUUGUGUGUCAAACGAGGGAGUUUGUUUUCUUUCUGGAGCAGGUUCGAAAUCCAUUUUGAGCUCUAGCUGGGUACUGUACUGGAGUAUUAUGCCCAAAUUUAAAGGUUCUGUGUCAUUUUGAUGAAAAGACCUGUUAUAAUGAAAGAAACGGCUUUAUAAAAGGCUGGGGGUAGUAAUCUCUCUCUCUUUCUUUCUUUCUUUCUCUCUCUGUCUCUCAACCUCACACUCUCCCUCUUUCACUCCAGUCUAUAGCAUGUUUAUAGCUAGCUGGAGAUAAUGGAGAUUGGGUGAUUGCAUGAUUAGGAAAAUGAAUGGAUUUUAGCAUUGGGCAAAGCAGCUUGCGGUUUUGAAAGGUGCCUUUAAAAUGCAGAGUUCUAAUUUUGACCUUAUUUUCUUUCAUAGAUAAUCUUUAUUAAUGCUCCUUUAAUUCGGUUUCCCUCAUCGCAGCUAGUUUUUCUCUCCAGCCAUCUGAUGGAAUGGCUAAUAUAUUUUAUCUUACUUGCCAAAAUAGCGCGAGGUCAAAGUAAAAGGAAAAUGUUAUUUAUCUUUCUUGUAGACAGUUAGAAAUGUUUCAAACUAUUUCGGUAGAACCCGCAGUAUUUGUGCAUUUUGGCAAAAAUUGCAUCUGUCACCACAGUUUUCAGGCAAUCUUGACACCCAAAUCUAUUUUUUCUUAUGCUUUAAUCAAGUAAAUGCAGGAACAGUUAUUUUGGCUAUAUUGUAAUGUGAGACUUUAGCAGAAAACUUCCCCCCAAAAUGCUGUAAAUUUGUGUGAGAAGGAACUAUAUAUCCUUUAAUAUAUAUGUAAUAGCAAAUACUUUAACCGGUGUAGCGGCCAGAAGGUAGGAGAUGAUUUAUUUUCUUGGAAAUAUGGUCAUUAUUUCUUAAUCAUUGGCACUUCCUAGUCAAAUUUGCUGCUGUCAUAGAGACACUAAAGGGUUAGUCAUAGAAAAGUUUCAGUACUGUCUUGCAUUUGUAACAAAUAUGUGCAGCUGUGCUACUCUUAUAAACAUUUAUCUCAAGCUGAUUAUUUUAAUUAUUUGCUCUAGCAAGCCAAUGUGAUGUGACUAUUCUGUAUGUUUAAUAAGGGAUUGUCUGCAAAAUUCCUUUGCACAGGGUUAUUGAGCAAAGGUGUAAACUGGAGGAAAAUUCUCCUUGACAACACAAAAAUAAAGACCUUGGACCAAAUUCUGCUUAGGGUUUACAUUGCCAUAAGCCUGGAGUCGCUGUGUUAAGAGGAGUGGAGCGAGUCCAGGUUUACUUACCUGAGCGCCUGAGAGCCAACUUUGCCCCAUGAUUUGAGUUAGCUCAGUCCGAAGACUUUCAAACCCCAAACUGUUCUCCUUUGUGAAACAUCUGAAGAAAAUAGCCUCAUUAAUAAAUUAGGAGCCAUUUCAAAUGACUCCAUGUCCGAGUUAGCAAACUGCUGUUAUUGAAUACGACAGCUAACGCAGGUCUUCAGUCAUUCUCCGAAAUAAUUGUUUUCUAGUUUUAUUAUCCAGCUAUUGCUCCAUAGUUCAGUGUAUACGCCUUUAUUUUCUUUAGAUGCCAUAAGUUUAAAAGCCAAUUUAUCAAAGAUAGUCAGACUGGACUUGAAAUGGUCAUUUUGUUACUUGAAAGGUUUCUAACUCGCCAUCAUUUUUUCACUUAAGCUCUUAGUAAACGUUUUUCUUUCACACAUCUGUGCUCCAUUUUUAUAAGGAAUAGCUGAAAUUGCUCAGGUAAUUUAUGCAGUAAAAAAAUAAAAUUUCAGAAUAUUACUAGUAUUUCCUUGUAUCAAAAAUCAGUGGAAUCCUCACUAUAAAUCUCAUUGCAAAUGAGAUUUAAAAAUAAUGGCGCAUCUAAUAAAUAUUUAAUUUCAUCAUAUGGAAAGCUAAUUGUUACUACCAAAGCUAAAAAUGUCCAGAAGGGUGAAACGCUCACAAGUAGUAUUUCUAGUUAAAUCCUUGACCGUAUCCAUAUAUACUUGCAUGUAUGUACUCCCAUCUAAGUUUAUCCUGACGAUCCCCACAUGCUGUGGAACCAUUUGUAGCUUUGCCGAUUUGUGCUUCCUACUUAUAAUUAUCUGUAUAUCAGAAAUCAUACAGGUAUUAAUAAUUACCCUGCUCCUGCGUCUAUAAAAAUAAGUAUUAACAGCGUACCGUUGCAGCAUGGGUUUUCUUUGUUUUAUACAGUAACUCUCGUGUGUGUUCAUACACUGCUUAGCUGCUGUAUAAAUGUUUUUAAUAAAAUCAUUCCUUCUCAGAGUUGCUAAACUCCAUAAAUAACUAUUUAACUUGAACAUAUGUAUUCAGUGCAUGGUUAUACAUACUUUAUAGUAUCUUCGUUUUCUAUACGUGGCCUCCUUUUCCCUACAAGGAUUUGCCUUAGUUGUUUUCUACUCCUUUCCUUCACCUGUCCUGAAUAUUGCCAUGAGUGUUUCUAAUUUAAAGCCAGAGGACUCAGUGGCUGAUUAGAAGACAGGAAAUUGGAGGAUUAAACUGUCUGGUUGAACUUCCUUUACUUAUCAGUACUGUGUAACUUACACUGGAUUAUAAACUCAUUGGGACAAUUUCUACAAUGUAUCAGUACUUCUGUUUUCUUAGUCUUUAUUUUUUGGUGGAAAAUAUGGAAAAUGAGGGAAAUGGGUAGUUUGUGGCUAAAAACAAAUACUUUUUAAUAACACUGAAGCACUGGAGGUUUAAAUUAAAUUUGUAUAAAUGUCUUCAGAUAUGAGAAUCCAUUCAAUUUUAAACCAUGCAGGUCUAUAAUAUAUAUUUUAAAUUAACUUCAGUAUGUAAACAACCAAGCAACAGAUACUUUCGGGGAGGGGGGGGAAAUGACAUCACUUUGGUAAGAGGAGAAAGCACCAUGUUAACCCUUGUUCAACCCUCUUCCCCUCAGAAACUUUCACAUUUGUUGUAACACAGUGGUGUAGCUAUAGGACACCCUGAGGAAGGGCCGGAGAGAAAUGCCAGCUUAUCCAAAAAAACUUCAUCUGGACUCUCAGUGCUGCCCUCUGAGUUGGGAGCCAGCGAUCUGAUGUCCUUGCCCAGCACUUACUGGCUGGAAGGACGUUGUGUAGAUAGCUGUCUAGCCAGGAGGAUAAUGAAGAAGAGCACAGCUUUGUGCCCUUAAGGGCCAGCUCAUUCUCACUGUUGAUGUCCAUAUUUUAUCUCCAGAGCUUGUUGUGGCCGCUGGUUAUGAAAUUAUUGUGAUAGUUGGGAAAAGCAAGUAAUCGGAGGACCUAUCUUUUGAAGGAUAAGUAAGAGAACUUCUAACCCCAAUCCAUGCUACACCUAAGGUAUAAGGCAAGAGAACCGAAAAAAUAAGCACUGCCUGAAAGGUCUUACACCUUGAUCUGAAUCCGAAGGCUGUGACACUAGUCAUAUACUGGAUCUUCAAAUUUAUUGGGAUGUUUGUGAUGGUUUCUGGCUAGCUGAUCCUGCCCUCCGCCAUUACUGGGUGUAAUCGAAAAUGGAGGUGAAAAUAAAUGAAUCUUUGGAAACUUUUUGCCAGCAAAGUCCCAGCAAU